CAAUAGCGUAUAUUAAAGUUGUUGCAGUUAAAAAGCUCGUAGGUGGAUUUCUGGUGGGAGCGAUCGGUCUGGCGCUUAGCGCGAGUACUUGCAUCGUCUCCGGCCAUCCUUGGGGAGAGUCUGUCUGGCAUUAGGUUGUCGGGCAGAGGAUCCUCAUCGUUUACUGUGAAAAAAUUAGAGUGUUCAAAGCAGGCUUAUGCCGUUGAAUAUAUUAGCAUGGAAUAAUAAGAUAGGACUUUGGUACUAUUUUGUUGGUUUGCGCACCAAAGUAAUGAUUAAUAGGGACAGUUGGGGGUAUUCGUAUUCCGUUGUCAGAGGUGAAAUUCUUGGAUUUACGGAAGACGAACUACUGCGAAAGCAUUUACCAAGGAUGUUUUCAUUAA
rnacentral:rRNA from 1 species